UACGUAGGGUGCGAGCGUUGUCCGGAAUUAUUGGGCGUAAAGAGCUUGUAGGCGGUUUGUCGCGUCUGCUGUGAAAAUCCGGGGCUCAACCCCGGACUUGCAGUGGGUACGGGCAGGCUAGAGUGUGGUAGGGGAGACUGGAAUUCCUGGUGUAGCGGUGAAAUGCGCAGAUAUCAGGAGGAACACCGGUGGCGAAGGCGGGUCUCUGGGCCGAUAUUGACGCUGAGGAGCGAAAGCGUGGGGAGCGAACAGG
rnacentral:rRNA from 1 species